CGCCCUGGCAAUGGGCAAAGAGACACCUGGUUUGUAGUGUUGUUCUUGUAUCAGUCAGGGCAGAGCAGAUGGCAGUCCUUUGUUCAUCCUAGCUUGAUGCCUGACUUGCUGCCAAAGCUGUUUCAUGCCUAGUUCAUAUGA